rnacentral:rRNA from 1 species
AUUGAACGCUGGCGGCAUGCUUUACACAUGCAAGUCGAACGGCAGCGCGGGGCAACCUGCUGACGAGUGGCGAACGGGUGAGUAAUGCGUCGGAACGCACCGAGUAAUGGGGGAUAACGCAGCGAAAGCUGUGCUAAUACCGCAUAAGCUCCGAGGAAGAAAGCAGGGGAUCUUAGGACCUUGCGUUAUUCGAGCGGCCGACGUCUGAUUAGCUAGUAGGUGAGGUAAGAGCUCACCUAGGCGACGAUCAGUAGCGGGUCUGAGAGGAGGGUCCGCCACACUGGGACUGAGACACGGCCCAGACUCCUACGGGAGGCAGCAGUGGGGAAUUUUGGACAAUGGGCGCAAGCCUGAUCCAGCCAUGCCGGGUGUCUGAAGAAGGCCUUCGGGUUGUAAAGGACUUUUGUCAGGGAGGAAAUCCUUAGUGCUAAUACCACUGAGGGAUGACAGUACCUGAAGAAUAAGCACCGGCUAACUACGUGCCAGCCGCCGCCGUAAUAC